GACGAACGCUGGCGGCGUGCCUAAUACAUGCAAGUAGAACGCUGAGGGGGGAGCUUGCUUCUCUGGAUGAGUUGCGCACGGGUGAGUAAAACGUAGGUAACAUGCCUGUAAAAGGGGGGUAACACUUGGAAACGAUAGCUAAUAUCGCAUAAUAGUUGAUGUUGCAUAACAUUUACUAGAAAGAUGCAAUUGCAUCGCUACCAGUUGGUCCUGCGUUGUAUUAGCUAGUUGGUGGGGUAACGGCUCACCAAGGCGACGAUGCAUAGCCGACCUGAGAGGGUGAUCGGCCACACUGGAACUGAGACACGGCCCAGACUCCUACGGGAGGCAGCAGUAGGGAAUCUUCGGCAAUGGGCGGAAGUCUGACGGAGCAACGCCGCGUGAGUGAAGAAGGUUUUCGGAUCGUAAAGCUCUGUUGUAAGAGAAGAACGAAUGUGUGAGUAGAAAGGUCAGUCUGGAACGGAAUCUAACCAGAAAGGAACGGCUAACUACGU
rnacentral:rRNA from 1 species